GUGACUAUGUGGUGUAGUUAAAGUCUAGAAAUUACAAAUGUUUUGUGGCCAACACGAAACUUAUCUGUGAGUCAUUGCCUGGGGGGCUUACUUGGACAAGGGCUGAGAGAAUUACCAGUAGCUUGAACAGCUUAAGGGCGGGACCAAGUACAGAAUGAAGCUCAGACUCUGAAGAAUUUGCACUACUAAGGUGUGUACACAACAUGAAGGUGGCCAUCUGCAAGCCAAAAAGAGAGCCUUUACCAGAACCUGACCAUUGCUGGCACCCCAAUCCUGGAUGAUCCAGCCUCUAGAACUAUGAGAAAUAAAUUUCUGCUGUUCAAGCAACCCAGUCUAAGAUAUUUUUGUUGUAGCAGCCUGAACUGCCUAAAG
rnacentral:lncRNA from 1 species